GAUUAAAUGGCUGAAUAAAAGCAAUAGACUGUAAAUCUAUGAAUAAGAAAAAUCUUUUUAAUCA
rnacentral:tRNA from 1 species